CCUACGGGGGACAGCAGUGGGGAAUAUUGGGCAAUGGGCGCUAGCCUGACCCAGCAACGUCGCGUGAAGGAUGAAUGCCCUCUGGUUGUUAACCUUCUUUUAUAGGGAAGUGUAGUGCAGUAUAUCUGCUGCUUUACAUAUGGCUAAUUACGAGCCAUCAGCUGAGGUCAUACGUAGGUGGCGAGCGUUGUCCGGAUUUACUGGGUGUAACGGGUGUGUAGCCGGGUGGAUAAGUCAGAUGUGAAAUCCUGCGGCUUAACCGUAGAAGUGCAGUUGAAACUGGUAUUCUUGAGUACAGUAGAGGCAGGCGGAAUUCGUGGUGUAGCGGUGAAAUGCUUAGAUAUUACGAAGAACUCCGAUGGCGAAGGCAGUCUGCUGGACUGCAACUGACGGUGAGGCGCGAAAGCGUGGGGAGCAAACAGGAUUAGAUACCCGAGUAGUC
rnacentral:rRNA from 1 species